rnacentral:rRNA from 1 species
AUUGAACGCUGGCGGCAGGCUUAACACAUGCAAGUCGAGCGGAGAUGAGGUGCUUGCACCUUAUCUUAGCGGCGGACGGGUGAGUAAUGCUUAGGAAUCUGCCUAUUAGUGGGGGACAACAUUCCGAAAGGAAUGCUAAUACCGCAUACGUCCUACGGGAGAAAGCAGGGGAUCUUCGGACCUUGCGCUACUAGAUGAGCCUAAGUCGGAUUAGCUAGUUGGCGGGGUAAAGGCCUACCAAGGCGACGAGCUGUAGCGGGUCUGAGAGGAUGAUCCGCCACACUGGGACUGAGACACGGCCCAGACUCCUACGGGAGGCAGCAGUGGGGAAUAUUGGACAAUGGGGGGAACCCUGAUCCAGCCAUGCCGCGUGUGUGAAGAAGGCCUUAUGGUUGUAAAGCACUUUAAGCGAGGAGGAGGCUACUGAGACUAAUACUCUUGGAUAGUGGACGUUACUCGCAGAAUAAGCACCGGCUAACUCUGUGCCAGCAGCCGCAGUAACAC